GAUGAACGCUGGCGGCGUGCUUAACACAUGCAAGUCGAGCGAAGCAUUUGCAGUUGAUUUCUUCGGAAUGAUUCUGUUUAUGACUGAGCGGCGGACGGGUGAGUAACGCGUGGGAACCUGCCUCAUACAGGGGGAUAACAGUUAGAAAUGACUGCUAAUACCGCAUAGGCGCACAGUGCCGCAUGGCGCUGUGUGAAAAACUCCGGUGGUGUGAGAUGGACCCGCGUUGGAUUAGCUAGUUGGCAGGGCAGCGGCCUACCAAGGCGACGAUCCAUAGCCGGCCUGAGAGGGUGAACGGCCACAUUGGGACUGAGACACGGCCCAG
rnacentral:rRNA from 1 species